rnacentral:rRNA from 1 species
CAGCAACUCAAGUGGUCAGGAUGAUUAUUGGGCCUAAAGCAUCCGUAGCCGGCUCUGUAAGUUUUCGGUUAAAUCUGUACGCUCAACGUACAGGCUGCCGGGAAUACUGCAGCGCUAGGGAGUGGGAGAGGUAGACGGUACUCGGUAGGAAGGGGUAAAAUCCUUUGAUCUAUUGAUGACCACCUGUGGCGAAGGCGGUCUACCAGAACACGUCCGACGGUGAGGGAUGAAAGCUGGGGGAGCGAACCGGAUUAGAUACCCGAGUAGUCC